UCCAAAACUCUCUCAAGCUGUGCCUUACACUCUCUCAAGCUGUGCCUUACACUCUCUCAAGCCAGCCGACACCGACGCCGACCGAGCUUGACGACACCGACCCAGGCUUUCGUCGGUGACGCUGACCUCAAACCCAUUAAACCCAUUGCGACGCUUCAGCUCCGAUUUCUCCGUUUGGCAACGUUUCAACUCCGAUUUCUCCAUUUCGCGACGCUUCAUCUCCAAUUUCUCUAUUUCACGACGAUUCAGACGCCGAUCGCGACGCUUCAGCUCCAUCCAACGACGCUUCAGUUCGCUCCAUCCGGCGACGCUUCAAUUACUCCAUCCAGCGACGCUUCAGUUCACGACACUGCCGGCGACGCUUCAUUUCGCGACGUUGCUGGCGACGCUUUCGGUGACCCUUCACCUUCCACCCAGCCAGUGACCCUUCACCUCCCACCCAAUUGGCGACCCUUCGCCUCCUAAACAUGAAAGCAUUUCAACAGCUAAAUACACAUUGUUUGCAAUAACUUUGGAUUUUUUCUGAAAGUUGUAAGCUUAGCUUGAGAAAAAUUUCUUAUUGGUGGUUUUUAGGGGAUUUACUUUUGGCAUUACUUGAAGACAUAUGAGGACAUCUUCCGUUAGUUCUAAAAUAGGGUUUAGGUAGAGUUAUUGUAUGUAUUGCAAAAAAUUAUUAUCUGGAAGGAGUUUGAAUUGGAUACUUGUUUUAUUUUUUACUUGUGGAAUGUAUGGAUCUUUUUUUUAUAAAUGUGUUGUUGAAAUAAAUGUAUUAUUCAAA